GAGGGUAUAGCUCAGUGGUAGAGCACAUACUUAGCAUGCACAAGGUCCUGGGUUCAGUCCCCAGGACCUUCA
rfam:Camelus ferus unplaced genomic scaffold scaffold73, whole genome shotgun sequence.